AACGAACGCUGGCGGCAGGCUUAGCACAUGCAAGUCGAGCGCCACGCAAGGGGAGCGGCAGACGGGGGAGUAACGCGUGGGAAGCUACCCAUCUCUACGGAAUAACGCACGGUAACGUGUGCUAAUACCGGAUACGUCACUCGGGAGCAGCAUUGAUCGGAGAGGGAUGAGCCCGCGAUGGCUUAGCUAGUCGGUGGGGUAAAGGCCUACCAAGGCGACGAUCCAUAGCUGGUCUGAGAGGAUGAUCGGCCACACUGGGACUGAGACACGGCCCAGACUCCUACGGGAGGCAGGAGUGGGGAAUAUUGGACAAUGGGGGCAGGCCUGAUCCAGCCAUGCCGCGUGAGUGAUGAAGGCCGUAGGGUUGUACAGCUCUUUCACCGGUGAAGGUAAUGACGGUAACCGGAGAAGAAGCCCCGGCUAACUUCGUGCCAGCAGCCGCCGUAAAAC
rnacentral:rRNA from 1 species